GGCCAGACUCCUCGGGAGGCAGCAGUGAGGAAUAUUGGUCAAUGGCCGGAAGGCUGAACCAGCCAAGCCGCGUGAAGGACGAAGGUGCCAAGCAUUGUAAACUUCUUUUGUCAAGGGACAAAAUCAGGCUCGAGAGCCUGACCGAGGGUACUUGAAGAAAAAGCAUCGGCUAACUCCGUGCCAGCAGCCGCGGUAAUACGGAGGAUGCGAGCGUUAUCCGGAUUUAUUGGGUUUAAAGGGUGCGUAGGCGGACGCUUAAGUCAGCGGUAAAAUUGCGGGGCUCAACCUCGUCGAGCCGUUGAAACUGGGCGCCUUGAGUGGGCUAGAAGUACGCGGAAUGCGUGGUGUAGCGGUGAAAUGCAUAGAUAUCACGCAGAACUCCGAUUGCGAAGGCAGCAUACCGGCGCGCAACUGACGCUCAUGCACGAAAGCGUGGGUAUCGAACAGGAUUAGAUACCCGAGUA
rnacentral:rRNA from 1 species